UAGUUAUUGUCAUCUACGUAUCAUAUACAUUAAAAUAUUAUAUCAAGUCACAUUAGCAAUCAGCAUUAUCAUCAUCAGCAUUAGGCAAUUAUUCUAAGACAUAUUAAAUGUCCUGUUGGGACAAUAUUUCGGCGUGUGUGCUUCGGUGCCAGUAGCUCCGCAAUAACGGCAAACAACUUCAAACAAUGCUGGACAAGUGAUAUUGUUGGCAUCAUCUCUCAAUGCAUGACUGGUGUAGACAUUUUCCUUCUCUCGAUUGUGGAAGCAAAACGAACAAUAUUUGCCCUUGACAUCAUACGCUGCAAUAAGAAAACACAACAAUAAGUAUACAUGUUUACAAGAAAAUCUGUUUUAUUUUCUACUUACAUCUUGAACGUCCAAGUAUUGGCUUACUAUUAUUCUUGAAGAAUGUCUUCUUCUCAUCCAUCGAUGUCCACGAUAAACUGGAUAAAGGACGACUUUCCUCAUCAGAAGAUGAAGAGUAAACCUCAAGAUCUUGCCAAUAUGAGACAUUUUCACCUCUAGGUGAAGCUGACAUUGUAGACGACGAAGAUGAAUAAGUGAUGUCUCGAUUGACAACGAACUGAAUUGUUUGAUUGGCUUGUAAGGAUCGUAAGUACCAUCACUACCUUCAGGCACAAUCAACAUACGUUCAAAAUCUUUAAUAAAAACAGAAAAAGAAAACAAAAA